rnacentral:rRNA from 1 species
AUAUAUCUUUUCAAUUCAUCUUCAUUCUCGAGAUUUGCCGCUUUUAAAAGAAAUUCAAGCUUAUUUUGGAGGUAUUGGAAGAAUAACAGAGGGAAAAAAUAGACAAUCUAAUAAUAUAAAUACACAAAAAAAAAUCAAUUUGCCUAGAUAAUCCAAUUAUUAAGUAAUGAAUUAGUAUCUAAUUAGAGACCCGAAGAGUAGUGAUCUUACCAUGGUCAGGCUUAUAAAAGGCCGAAUGGGUUAUCGUUGUAAAGAUAUCCAAAGAACUGUGGUAAGUUAGUGAAAGACAAUCCUGACUACUAUAGCUGGUUUUCCGCGAAACAUAUGUAAGUAUGUAGUUUAAAUAACAUCAUAGCAGGUACAGAACUGUGAUCUCGGACAAUUUGUGCAUUAAUAUCCUAUUAGGGUAUAUAAUGCCUUGUGCAUAUGGGGGGGUCGUGAAGACUCUAUUCGCGAGUAUUUGCUCUCGGAAGGGCAAUGAUGAGUGUUGAACUAUCAGACAUUUAACGAUAAGGUUGUAUGUCAAAAGGGAAACAGCCCAGAACAAGUGUUUAAGGUUCCAAAGUUUUUGUUAAGUGAAAGUAAGGAAGUAUUUAAACUAUACAACCAGGAAAUAGGCUUAGAAGCGGCCAUUUUUUAAAGACCUCGUAACAGAGCACUGGUUCAAACGGUUAAUUAGUUAACCUUAUAAGUUAAAAGCGCCGAAGAUAUAACGGAUCUAAAACAAAACACCGACACCUUGUCCAUAAUAAUAAUAUUAAGUUAAAAGCGCCGAAGAUAUAACGGAUCUAAAACAAAACACCGACACCUUGUCCAUAAUAAUAAUAUUAGGUUAAAUCCUAUUUUAAUAUACUUAAAGGUUAUUUAAGUAUUGUUUAUGGGGUAGCGGAACAUUGGGUAAAUAGGAUUAAAAAUAGGUAAUAAACCCCUUAGAAUCUUUUUUAAUGUAUAAAAACUGGAUGAAUAGAGGGGAAGGAUACACCUAUUUUCAUUAUUACAUCUGUAAUUUGCUCGCUAAAUUGCGGGUUUCCAUAAAUAUCCCAAGUGAGAAUGCUGACACGAGUAACGAAAAAGAGGAUGCCCCUAAAAGGCCCUCUCGCCUUAAGCUUAUGGGAAAGUUAAUCGGUCUCUAAAUUAAACCUAAAGGAUAAAAUGAUGAGGAGAUUAUAUGUGACAACAUAAAGAAAUUGAGUAAAAUGUUCUGGAAAAGCAUAUAGUCUAAGGAUGUAGAUAAAAAUACUAUCCUUUGGGAUGGCCCCUACAAAGGCCAGACCUAAAGGUUAGUCCCCUUCGGGGACUAGUAAAUAAACUAGAGAGAUAUUACUAGGCAUCCUUAAACAUAUAAAACCGUACCUAAAAACUACCACAAGUAAGCUAGUAGAGAAUACGAAGGCGUUUGAGCUAACAAUCAUUAAGGAACUCGGCAAAUUGACACCGUAACUGAGGGAGAAGGUGUGCCAUUCCUACUGAUUAAUAUCAGUUUAGGAAGAGGAGACAUAAAAUGGUGUUGCACGACUGUUUAAUUAAAACACAGCACUUUGCGUAAGAUGUAAAUCAAUGUAUAGAGUGCGCUAUCUGCCCAAUGAUGGCUGGUUAACGGAUUUACUUAGACGACUAAAAUAGGCUAGGUUUUGAAGGAACCCCCAUUUAAUGGCGGCCUUACCUAUGAGGGUCCUAAGGUAGCGAAAUACCUUGGCAUUUAAAUGAUGUCGCGCAUGAAUGAUCUCACGAUGCAACAGCUGUCUCAAUGAUUGGCUCAGUGAAACUGGAAUGGCAGUGAAGAUACUGCCUAUCUCUAGAUAGACGAGAAGACCCCAUGCAGCUUUACUGUUACUAGUUAUAGGGUAUAAUUUAACAGGUUUUAGUGAAUAAGGUAGUUGAACGACAAAAUUGAAACACCUUUACUCUGGUUGUUAUAUCAGUAGAAUAGGUUACAUUAUUGUAACUGACGUCUGAAUGUAAUCCAUAAAAGGAGGGAGAUUAUAUCAAGCUCAGGAGACAAUGGCUAGCAGAUGGUUUAUGCGGGGCACAGAUCCCAUAAAGAGUACCUGGGAGUAUCCAAAUUUAUUUUUGUAAUAUGCUAUACGCAAAUUAUAUAGGGCUUUUAUUAAAUAAUUGCCUUGUAUAUUUUAAUUUUUUAAUUACUAUAUUUAGUUUGUUAUUUUUUAUAUUUACUUUUAUAAAGUAUCUAUAACUAAUUCAGUUAUAUUUCUAUUUAAGUUAGAACUAAAACAAUUUAAUAUAAGUAAGAUUUUACCUAUGUGGAAAAUAGGUGUAUAUAUAGUAUUAAUAAUGAAUAUCUAAUUGUAAAAAAGAUAUAAUUAUAACACUAUUAGUUAUUUUUUUUAGAAUACCUCUAUAAGAAAUGAUGUUGAUAUAUACUUCCAAAGUUUAAUGGCUUAAUCUUGCUUUACUGUUUGACAUACACGUCUAUCAGUUGCGUAAGCAGGGCAUAAAGACCGCAAGACGCAGUAAGGAAAGGUCUUGUAUUAUUGAAAAAGCUACGCUGGGGAUAACAGGCUAAUUGCGCCAGAGAGUACAAAUUGAGUGCGCAGUUUGGCACCUCGAUGUCGGCUUAGCUCAUCCACAUGAAUGCAGGAAUCAUGAAGGGUACGACUGUUCGUCGAUUAAAGAGCUACACGAGCUGGGUUAAAUACGUCGUGAGACAGUAUGGUUUCUAUCUUCUAGAGGAAAUUGGAGUAAAAUAAGGAUAGCCCCUUCGUACGAAAGGAGUUGGGUAUGGUAACCUAUGGUUUACCUGUUGUUUAUGCGCUUAAUAUUAACCUGAUAAAUAACGGCAAGAAUAGGUUCUCCUUAAUAAGUAGAAAAUGGGUAUCUAAAGAAGAAGGAGAGUAAUAUAGAUAGAUUCAUGUGAAUUUAUUACCUAUUUGAGCUAUAGAU